UACGAAGGGGGCGAGCGUUGUUCGGAAUUACUGGGCGUAAAGGGCGCGCAGGCGGUCCUUCAAGUCAGAUGUGAAAGCCCCGGGCUCAACCUGGGAACAGCAUUUGAGACUGGAGGACUUGAGGACGGGAGAGGAGAGUGGAAUUCCUGGUGUAGCGGUGAAAUGCGCAGAUAUCAGGAAGAACACCUAUGGCGAAGGCAGCUCUCUGGGACGGUACUGACGCUGAGACGCGAAAGCGUGGGGAGCGAACAGG
rnacentral:rRNA from 1 species